GUCAUGUUCCCCAUGUUCCAGGAGCUUGCACCAGACAACCCAUAUGACAAGUGUGGUCACCACUACAUGAUUUGCCUUGACCUGAAGAACCAACGAUUUGAGGUGCUUGGUUCAAUGUGUUCAGGAGCUGAUGAAGACCUUACUACACAUGCUGAAUUAUUCAUCAACAACCUCAAAGAGACAUGGAACCGUCACUACGAAAACUCAAAGGUCCAGAUCAUACGUUUACCAAUUGAGUAUGUAGCGACUACGAAGCAAGGAAACCGGCAUGACUGUGGCUUUCACACAUUGGAAUACCUUGCAAAGUGGGAAGGUCGACGGGUCCCUAUUGUCACAGCUGCAAUGGUCGUUGAGCUCCAUAAAAUAUACACAUGGAACUGGUUGAUGAAUGAAGAUUUCAACAAGCAGGCCAACGCACGAGAGUUCAUAGAGGAAGCUGUCAAA
rnacentral:rRNA from 1 species